GUUCGAGUGCGAAAUUGAAUAUGCAAAUAAUGUGUGCUGUGGCCUGUAAUUGAACAAACUGAUGGGUCGUCUUUAUGUUUGUGUUUGCACCUGAUUAGCGGACAAUUAAUGCAAAUCGGCAAUUAAAAGCUCCCUGAAAUGCCAAAUAAACAAAAUACGAGUAAUUAAAUUAAUUUCCGUGCUGGACA